ensembl:lncRNA
GCUAACAGCCAACAGGAGUCAGUGAUGGGUGGACGACACCGCAUCUCAACCCGAGGGUAACAAUCCCAGGUCCUCCACUUCCCAUUCCCCACCCUACCCAGCAAAUGAGCUGGCUUACAUCACCUGUGGGUUGUCCUCUCCAAUACUUCCUGAGUGGAAUCCUUUCCAAUGAAGAAGCUGAGCCUCUACUGCGUGAGAUCUUCUGCCUGAGGUACACAGGGCGUUGAAACGGUUUCCAUUGAGAGAACGUCGUAGAGACCGAAAGGAAAGGACAUCUGAAGGUGUAGCGUCUGGUGAACGAGGCGGAUGCACCAGAGCUUCGCAGCCGAGUUGCACCGUCGUCAGAGAAACCUGCAGCCUGUGUCGUCCUGACAGGAGGUGAUGCGUUUUCUGUCGGCUCCUUCCGGACGCUUUCGUCGAAUGCUGCUUUCAGUCGUCUAAUUGGGAGCAGUAUUUUUGGGAAUUAAUCAUUUGUUUUUCUGGAAGGAGCUCAUAAUAGAGGACUCCCUUCCAAUCCCACCAUAUACACAACGUCACCUUCUUUGGAUGAAGACCGGCCUCUGGUUAGUGGUGGUUCAUUUCAUUUGCUCCAUGAUCUCUUCCAUCCCACUUUCUUGCACAGUCUCCAUUUUUCAUCGACCGUCACAAUUUGUUUUAAAAAUGGAAGGUUUCCCUCAUGUUUAAGUAAAGAAUUGCAUGUGGAAAUACAAUCAAGGUUUUAUUCACUUAACUUAUGUGGAAUCCGAACAUCAAAGCGAUUAACGUACCAACUUGGUGGAAAUGAUUCUCGAUACUUGAUUUGGACAUUUUGAGUAUGUUGGCUAUCUCCCAAGUGGCGUAAUGUUGAUUGUUCUCAAUUACUGUCUUGAUUUGAUCACUAUCAACUUCAACUUGUCUACCCGACCAGGAAGCAUGGUCCAGGGAGAAAUCUCCAGCAGAAAACUUUGCAAACUAGUUUUGAUAUGUUCGAUCAGUCACAGCACCUUCGCCAUACACUGGAGAAAUCUUUUUUUUUUUUUUGGUGUUUCAGUUUCGUUUUUACUUUUCUUGAAAUAAUAGAGCAUACUAUACCCCAAAUGUUGCUUUUACUCUUCCAUCUUGAAAAUUGAAGUGGCUACACAAAAUUCACCAAUUUUGAAUUUUUUUUUAAUGCAUGCCUAUAUGACAGCUGUCACAAAACAAUCUAACAAAGUUGUUUCGAAUGAAGUUAAAGAUGACUAGGCAAUAUGAGAGCCAUCUUACAGAAAAACUGAACAAAUGUUUUGGCCAAUCCAAUAUAUAACACAGUAUUAUUAACUAUUUACUCUCUUGUUUAGUACCUGGGGAUAUACUUAAGCUGUAUUUCUAUUUUAUCCUAUCUUCUUUUUCUUUCGUCUUGUUCAGUGUCUCUGGUUUAAACUGUGGAGGGUGGUCUUUGACAAAUAGAACAAACACGGAAAUAUGAUGUGGACAGAGUCCUCACUGCCUUGUCUCUGGUGGCUUGCUCUUCCUCUAUCUUUCAGACCACUUGCACCUGUUCAGCUAAAUCACUCCAAAGAACUGGAAGAAACAACUCACACAGCAAGGUCGCUGAAAUGCGGUGAGACGGAGCUCUUAUUCUCUGCUGCUAGUCAUAAAGGCUUGUCUGUGUCUCCUUAUUCAGUUCCAGGGGCUAGGGAAGACUUUAUCUGAGACGUUUCAGGUAACGUGAAAUGAAACAUCGCUUCAUAUCUCAUCUCACUUCUUAGCUGAAACAGUAACCAAGCCGUUUUCCUUCCGAGGGGUCUAUUUUCUUUUGCCAACGUCUUCUCUGUGAAUAGAUUCGUCUUCCCAGGUACUUACUGCUUUCAUUUUUUCUCCAGAGGACAAUUUCUUCCUUUUCGUUUUUUCACUUUUUGAUGGUGCAGUACUCUGGCCACCCCCAGAAAGAUUCCAAAAUCCUCCCUCGGUUCUUUAUUCCUGCGGCUGGCAACCUACACUACCAGGAAAUCCAUCUUUAAUACAAAUCUGAAUGCCUUGUACUGUCAUUUGGGUUUAAAUAUAUUUCCCCUGAGCUCUGGCCUCAGUAAAAAUAGCAGACAGCUGGUCAGCAUGCUCCACACCAUAAACCUGUUGGGAGGAAGUACGGCCAAGGGGGUGGUUGGCUUGCAUCAAAAACACUCGGAAAGCUUGUUAAAACACAGAUUCUUGGACUCCACCCUCAGAGUUUCUGAUAUACACGUCUGGUAUGGAAUCCAAAAUUUGCAUUUUAAUAACUUUCAAGUGGUACUGACGCUGCCGGUGCAAGGACCACACUUUCAGAACCAUUGCUGCACACCAAUCUCAAACCUGCUGUCGCAAAAGCUAUUGACAGGGGUCCCCAAACUCUACUGUAUGCCAGAAUCACCUAAAGAGCUUCGGAAAUUCCAAGCCAUUGUAUACCAAGUGAAGCAGAAUGUCAGCGCAGGCAUCCAUAUUUUUCAAAGCCAGGCAUUGGGACUUUUAAGGGAGUUCCAGGCUCCUGCAACACACAGCCACGAUUGGGAUGAGGCCUGGAGACCUGCGAAGGACCAGAGGCCAGGAGGCGGGGGAAGAGCAGCCCUUGAUCUUGGGACGAUCCUCCUAUUUCCCUAGUCUGUCUUUUCUCAUCGGUCCGACAACAUGACGAGCCCUUUAGUUUCCUCUCAAGCGUUAGUAGCAAGAGAAGCACACUGAGCAAGUAAGAAGUUUUGGAACUUGGGGUGCAAGGGAGGCAGUGCUGCCAAGGGUAAGAUGCAGAGACUCUGCGGUCGGGGAGGCCUUGGUCCGCAUCCUGACUCUCACCAGCUCUGUGCCCCGAGCAAGUUCACUAACUGCUCUGUGUUGCUCUUUCCUCCUUUGUAAGGAGAGAAUGACAUUACCUUGCUCAUGGAAUUUCUCCAGAGCAAUUUUGCCUUUUGCCCAGAAUGAAGUGGGAGCUCCGGAAAUGACUGUUCUUUGACGGUUAUCCAAACAACCUGGGCUUCCCAGGUGGCGCUAGUGGUAAAGAAUCCGCCUGCCGACGCAACCUGAGACUCAAGAGAUGUGGGUUCCAUCCCUGGGUCGGGAAGGUCCCCUGGAGCAGGAAAUGGCACCCCACUCCAGUAGUCCUGCCUGGAAAACCCCAUGGACAGAGGAACCUGGCGGGCUACAGUCCAUGGGAUUGCAAAGUGUCAGACACGACUGAGCGCACACAGCAGAUACAUACUGCACAUGCCAUUAUCCCUAGAUAUGGAACAGGCAGCCUUUGGGGAAGAAUUUCAAACAGAGGUUAGUGAAAUGAACAGUGGAAAGGCUGAAAAACAGCACGAAAUAGCCCAUAAGCAGACAACCGACAGUAUGGGUGUAUGAAGAUUCAACUGGAUUUAAGUCACUCAGUGAGUGGAUCUUAAGGCAUCAGGUCUUCAGAAUUACAGAGUUCCACCUUCUUUCCCUCCUGCUUUCAGACAAGAUCAUUUACCAGCAGGUAUGCUCCUCAGACACUUCAUGUACUCAAGGUAAGUCUGAACUUGCAGUACUUUCAGAUCCUGUGUCUGGCAUAUUAUUUCAUGCAUGUAAGUUUUUCUCCUAGACUAGAUAGUAAAACCUUGAAUUUCAUGAAUUCAUGUUUCCCUAGAGCACCCAUGGCCUGAAAAUUCUGGGUGCUUAAUAGCCGUCAAUUACUCAUCUAUUUCCACAAGCCCCUUUACAUUUAUCUUCCAUACAGCUUCCAGAAUAAUCUUUCAAACAUCCAAACACCUUCCCUCUACAUAGAAG